AAGGAUUCCACGCCUUUGCCAACAAGCACUGUAGCAAAUUGGAAUUUCUCUCAUUAAUUUCAAUGGCUUUGUUUCAAGUCAUUAGUGAUGAGAGGACUUACCGUAUCUUCAAUUAAGACACACGUCACUUCAGACAUUGCGAUCUGGAUAAUGCUGGGGCAAAGCUCACACACGGGAAAGGAUACAUGCACAUUCAUGAGCAUCACAAACAACAGUACUCCAGUACUCCAGGUGCUCAACACUGAUUACUGCAAAGUACCUGGAUGAGAGGCUGGGUUUGAACUACCAACCAACUAUUCUAAUAUGAUCUGCAAAAGAGAGGAACCAGGAGGGUUAAGCAACUUCUGUUU
ensembl:lncRNA